rnacentral:rRNA from 1 species
UGCCAGUAGUCAUAUGCUUGUCUUAAAGAUUAAGCCAUGCAUGUCUAAGUAUAAAUAGUAUACAGUGAAACUGCGAAUGGCUCAUUAAAACAGUUAUAGUUUAUUUGAUAAUUGAAUUCUACAUGGAUAACCGUAGUAAUUCUAGAGCUAAUACAUGCUGUAAAACCUGACUUUUCGGAAAGGUUGUAUUUAUUAGAUAUCAAACCAAUAAUCUUUCGGGAUUAUUGUGAUGAUUCAUAAUAACUGAUCGGAUCAAGGUGUACCUUGAUAGAUCAUUCAAGUUUCUGCCCUAUCAGCUUUCGAUGGUAGUGUAUUGGACUACCAUGGCAGUCACGGGUAACGGAGAAUUAGGGUUCGAUUCCGGAGAGGGAGCCUGAGAAACGGCUACCACAUCUACGGAAGGCAGCAGGCGCGUAAAUUACCCAAUCCUGAUUCAGGGAGGUAGUGACAAGAAAUAACAACUCGGGGCCUCACGGCUUACGAGAUUGCAAUGAGAACAAUUUAAAUCUCUUAGCGAGGAACAAUUGGAGGGCAAGUCUGGU